rnacentral:rRNA from 1 species
UACGGAGGGUGCAAGCGUUAUCCGGAUUCACUGGGCAUAAAGCGCGCGUAGGCGGGUUUCCAAGUCGGUUGUGAAAUCCCUCAGCUCAACUGAGGAACUGCAUCCGAUACUGUUUAUCUUGAGGACGAGAGGGGAGAGUGGAACUUCUGGUGGAGCGGUGAAAUGCGUAGAUAUCUGGAGGAACACCGGUGGCGAAGGCGGCGUUCUGGACUGCAACUGACACUGAGGAACGAAAGCCAGGGGAGCAAACGGG